rnacentral:lncRNA from 1 species
ACAAUCCUGACAUUUCAUUGUUUUGUUACUUGGGGCAGUAUUAACCAGUGGCCUUUGUAUGUACAUUCAUUGCUUACAUUUAUUGUUUAAGUGGUAGAGUAGCAUUUUUAUGAACUUCCCUGUUCAGUAUUAGUGAAAUUGACAGAUGCGUAUAUGUAAAGAUAGAAAAGAAACGAAUACAAUUAAUUUUUUAUUCCUUGAGGCCUAUUUAUUUGUUUUGGCCCUGGAUCUUUUCUAAUCACAAUUAUAUUUCUUUAUUUUUGCCUUUGAGCAGUUUCAUUUAUCUUUGUGGGCAGGGAAGAUUAAAUAUGAAAUUCAGUCCAGUCAUUUUGCUACUGGUUAGCUUUAGUUUGAGGCAAGUAAAAAUUUUUGAUUAAAAUUAGUUUCUUAAAAUUAUGCCCUUGCUUUACCAAAUAAUCAAAUUGGCUAAAAAAUAAGGGUAUGUAACUUUGCAUUUUGAAGAACAAACCAAUAAUUUUUCAUGAGCCCUACUCGAUCUUCUUUAAAGAAGACCUUCCUAAGAGACAAUUAGGGAUGAGUUUGAUUAAUGGGAAAUAGCUCUAGGUUAGAUUAUUUUAAAUUCCAUACACCAAGUGAUUUAACCACAGUGGCAGUGGCAGUUUCUGAACCGUCAAGUAUGAACAUCACUUAAAAAUUAAAAGAUGCUUAAUAAUAAACUCUUAAUUUUCAUUAAGCCAAUCUGUAAUUCAGAAGAAAAGCAUAUGUCUGCCAUGGGACUAUUGCAGUGCGUCUCCAUCAGUGUUAACACAGGAGAGAUAUGUUAUUUUAUGUGUAUGUCUUAGUUUGGGAUAUGUGGUAGUAAGAACAUGUCAAGAGUGCUUUCUUCAAACCUGUCAGCUCAACUGAGAAGACAGUUACUUCAUUGCUUAUUUUUUCCCUUGUUUUAUUGAAAUCUGUAUCUCAUAUCCAGUAUCUAACACUUUGUAGAGAUACUUACAUAUAAUGUAAGUGCACACCUACCCAGAGGAAUGGAUAACUGUUAAAGUGUUAAUAAUAGCUCGUCUUAGUUGAUUUCAGCAUAAUUUACAUUAGGGAGACCUAAAAAGCACCUUCAAAGUAUUAAAAGCACCUUUUUUUUUUCUUUUUCCUAAAAAAGCAAUUAAAAUGGUCACUGCUAACAUUUAUUAAACUUCAUGUUAGUUGAUGAAACAGCUGGAGGGAAGCUGCCACAUCUCCUAGCUAAGCAGUCUGACUUACCUGUUGGGAAACAAAGGGAUAUUGCUCUAAGAUUGAUUAGGAUGAUUGUAGCUAGAGUCUUGAAUUCUAUCUGUAUACGGCAGAGAAACUUUAUAGAGUGUAGAGAGGUGAGCGAAAGGAUGCAAAAGCACUUUGAGGGCUUUAUAAUAAUAUGCUGCUUGAAAAAAAAAAUGUGUAGUUGAUACUCAGUGCAUCUCCAGACAUAGUAAGGGGUUGCUCUGACCAAUCAGGUGAUCAUUUUUUCUAUCACUUCCCAGGUUUUAUGCAAAAAUUUUGUUAAAUUCUAUAAUGGUGAUAUGCAUCUUUUAGGAAAGAUAUACAUUUUUAAAAAUCUAUUUUAUGUAAGAACUGACAGAGGAAUUUGCUUUGUAUAAUGCAGGCUGGCUUUACAAAAGCACUGUAGCAAAUUUACUACAAGUCUAAAAGUAUACAUAUAUGUUAAUAGAUAUAUGUGCAACUAGAUAUGGACAGCAGUUGUAUUUUUUUAAAUAAAUAUUUUUAACAAAAU